CGUGCGCAAAACAGCCAGGGGAAUUCUGCACAACACGCAUGUCCUAUCUGCUUGCACGUGCACACGGGAUGUGUGCACCGGACAAGAACAGGUCAUGUUCGCGUCACCUUGCCCGUGGAUAGGUGCUGCAUACUGUGCACGUGCGGACAAGCGUCGCACACUGUGUGCACACCGUCUGUGCAGCAGGCUUGCGCGGAUAGGCUCUACGGGCCUGGGCCUGUGCACGUGCAUGCUAGCCUACAAUGCACCGGUCGGGAUUAUGACCUUGGGUAGUGCAAUGUCAUUGCCUCGGUCAGUGGCCCCCCACCGUCGGUCGAGCAUCUUUUUCUCCUUUCUCUUCACUGAAUUUGACCACUUGGCUUGAAUCCAACGAUUCCAAAAUUUUAUAAAUAGGCCUUCUCACCCCAUUCUUCCCCACACUUCCAUUCUUCUAUUUUCUAGACUUAGAGAGAGAGUAAUCUAGUGAGAGAAGGAGGAAAAGGAAAGAGGAACGGUGAAGGAGAAAACAUCAAGGCUUCGGUAAGGAACUUAGCAUUUCUUUCGGCGUCUUAAGGGACAUUUUUAGUUAAAAUAAAAUUAUUAGACAUGAUGAUUGUGAUUUUAUAUGCUUGUAUAUCGUUGUGUUUAGAUUUCAGAUAAGUCGGAUUGUUCUUAUUUUCAAGCAUACUAUGUGAAUUAUAAACACUUGAUGAUUUGUAUGUAAUAAAAUGUGAUCUGAUGUCAGAAUUAUUACUUGGUAAAAAUAAAGAAUAAAAGGAAAAAGAAAAAAGAAAAAUGGAAUGAAGCCUGAAUGGUCCAAAAUAUAUAUUUGUAUUCACAUUCAUAUUACAUCAAAUGUCUUGUUUGACUUUUUAUCUCUGAGGGGGUAUCUGUUCCCCUAACCCUUCGUGGUAUCUGUUUCCCCCUCCCCCAUCUAGUCUGGAAAGAUGUAAGAGGACUGCUCCUAGUGGAUGACGACGUACCCUCUUACGAGAGUGGUAAUGCGAAUAUCUGUUCGGGGUCACUAUUGGCUAAGUACUAUUGUGACUGUAGAUAUCUAAUAGGGCCACUAUAGUUGGUACGACCGUGGUCGUAGAUCGUAGUAUGGUUUGGCCACCCAGAAAUGGGCCUAAGCAAAUUGUCGUAUCUGUAUAUGAUCUGGUCAUUUCACUAAG
rnacentral:lncRNA from 1 species